GUCAUUGCGCAAAUGAUUAGUCAGAGCUCAGUUGCUGUAGCAACCAGCUGCUGUAACUGGGACAGGCAUGCAUUGAGGACAACAGAGAGGUCGACCAUUAGCGAGUGCUGGGGAGCUGAAACCUUUGUAUUUGCUUUCAAGAGCUGACGAGCAAGGCAGGGCGAAGCCCCCUGCUCCACGCCACGCGCAGGGACACUCCUUGGGGCCGCAGCUUUGGAAGGAAGCCCUUCCGUUCGGUUUAAUUUUUAAAUCAUCAUCAUCAUCAUCGUCGUCGUCGUCGUCGUCGUCGUCACCCCCAUCCUCCUUGCUCCCCUCUCUGCUUCCAAAGGAGCCGUCGCGGCCCGGCUCCGCACCCACUCCCUUUGGCUCUGCCAGCUUUGUCUUCCCAGCCCUUGCUGGUGGGUGCCGUACCGCUCCCGGUCCCACUCCUGGAUGUGUGCAAGCUGCUGUGUGGCCAGAGCUUGUCCAGGAGGGGAUCUCUUCCCCUGGCGCAUCGGUGGAAGCAGAUGGAGGCUGGGACUCCUUCCUCAUCCAGCCCACUCCUCCUUUCCCCAGGCACUGCUGGGCCUCUGCUCCAAGGGGUCAGAUUCAUUUUGCAGCUGCUGAGUCGGGGAACUCCUACCACAUUUCAGAGAAGCGGGGUAGGGUUCCUCGUCCUCUUGCAGCAUCUUUCACGUCAAAGAGUCACUGAAACAGAGUUUCAGAUUAAGUGACUAAUGUUUUAGGCUAUAGAAGAUGACAAAGAAAGCAUAUAAGGUCUCCGGGAGAGAGAAAAGAAAGCAUAGUGACUCACUGUGUAAGUCUGCAUCUGAAACUUAAAGCACAAAACGGUGACCACCUCCCGCUACCCCUGCAACAGGCAAGCAGAAAGCUUUCUGUGGGAAGGUGCAGGUCACAGAAAACGGAAAGCCCUGUCCUUUCGGUUAGGUAGCUACAGCUCUCCUUCAUUCAGGAGGGUCCCAAAGUGAUGUAUAAACUGUGCAGAUACAAAGGCUCUAAUGAAAUGCAGCUACCUUUGGAUCAAAGUGCACAUCAUAUUAUACAGGAGUCAUACAAUCAUAGAGAAGUAGGGCUGGAAGGGACCUUCAGAGGUCAUCUAGUCCAGCCCCCUGCCUGAGGCUGGAUCAUCCCUACCCUAGCAAAGGGACAGAUUGGAAGUUUUGACCAAGGACACUGGGACAAGCCCUGACCCUCAUGAAAAGUGCCUUGGGAUCCUUCUUGUCCACGUACAGCAGGUCAUUCUGAUUGCAAGGCUGAUGAUGAACUACACCUGUCCCUGCAGGAGACUGCAACAUCACUAAUGCCAGGGCACAAAGGAAUGUGUCAGCUUGGCCAAAACCCAAACCUGUUGCCUCUAAGAAAUCCAAUAUUUUAAACUUACAGCUUAGCACACUUAGCUGUCUUCUCCAGUGGUGAGCUAGGAAGCCCUGCCAGCCUUCUUUAUCUCCUUCUGCUUUAAACUGUGCUGCUGAAGUCCUGGGAGCCUUUCUGAACACUUGUGUCUGCUGAGAACCCCACACACAAGCAUAUGAACCCUACACUUGAACAUAGGUAUCAACAUAAGGCGAAGAAGAAUAGAUUGGCUGAACCCCAUUCUCCUACGGAUUAAGGCAUCAGAAAUGGGACCUGUGGUACAUCUCUCCUGGGUGGCCCUAGUUUUCUGAAAAGAGACAACAGGUUGGCAGUGGUACAGAUGGGGACAGUUUUGUCUGCAAACCACAUCCAAUAAAGAUUGACAAA